UAAACUGAAGAGUUUGAUCAUGGCUCAGAUUGAACGCUGGCGGCAGGCCUAACACAUGCAAGUCGAGCGAGAAAGCACUUCGGUGUGAGUACAGCGGCGGACGGGUGAGUAACGCGUAGGAAUCUACCCAGUAGUGGGGGACAACAGUCGGAAACGGCUGCUAAUACCGCAUACGCCCUACGGGGGAAAGCGGGGGACCUUCGGGCCUCGCGCUAUUGGAUGAGCCUGCGUAAGAUUAGCUAGUUGGUGAGGUAAAGGCUCACCAAGGCGACGAUCUUUAGCUGGUCUGAGAGGAUGAUCAGCCA
rnacentral:rRNA from 1 species